CAAGAACCAAACGAGAAAAUCAAAUAGUCAUACAGAGGCAGUGCUAAAUAUUUUACUGGUGUCACAUUUCUCACACCGAUUUAAUAUCUCGAGAGCAAGUUAAACAAACAGUUAUGCCAAAAGGUUAAGCCUGCAGAUAUGAUCAACUUAACCAGUUAAUGAUUUUUUCAACAGAGUUUAAUAAACAU